CCAUCUGGUGCCAGCAGCCGCGGUAAUUCCAGCUCCAAUAGCGUAUAUUAAAGUUGUUGCAGUUAAAAAGCUCGUAGUUGAAUUUCGGGAUUGACGUGAUGGUCGUGCCUUACGGGGUAUGAACUGUUGCUGUUGAUUUCUCACCUUCUGGAGAAUCUUGAUGUCCUUAAUUGGGUGUCUUGCGGAUCCAGGACCUUUACCUUGAAAAAAUUAGAGUGUUUAAAGCAGGCAUUUUUGCUCGAAUACAUUAGCAUGGAAUAAUAGAAUAGGACGGCAUGGUUCUAUUUUGUUGGUUUCUAGGAUCACCGUAAUGAUUAAUAGGGAUAGUUGGGGGCAUUAGUAUUCAAUUGUCAGAGGUGAAAUUCUUGGAUUUAUUGAAGACUAACUACUGCGAAAGCAUUUGCCAAGGAUGUUUUCAUUAAUCAAGAACGAAAGUUAGGGGAUCGAAGACGAUCAGAUACCCGUCGUAGUCUUAACCAUAAAGCUAUGCCGACUAGGGAUCGGAUGAUGUUAAUUUUAUUAAUGACUCAUUCGGCCUA
rnacentral:rRNA from 1 species